UCUGCAGGGACAAAUAGAGAUAAGUAGGGAUAAAUAGAGAUAAAUAGAGACAAAUAGAGAUAGGUAAGGAAUGACAGGGACUUGCAGGAAGUAACAGGGACCAUAGGGACAGAUAGGGAUAGAUAAAGACUAGCAAAGACUAGCCGAGAUUAGCAAAGACCAGCAAGGACUAGCAGAGACUAGCAAAGACUAGCAGAAACUUGCAGGGACAGGCAGAGACAGAUAGGGACAGAUAGGGUCCUACAGGGACUUGAACGAGGAAGAUCUGCUGGAAAAGAAAAGAACUACAACCAACCAGAUGAACAAGAAACCCUGUUACAAGUCUGCUGGCAGCAACAUAAGUGACACAAAGUGAACCGGGUUCUAUAAAUUACCAUGGAAAGUGGUGAGCCAACGAUUUGGCAGAACAAAACCCUGAGGAUAUGCAAACAAAAGGGACUAUGGAAUUUGCAAUUGCAGAUUAAAAUUGAAGAAGAAAACAUUUGAGUUGCAAAUACCGUAUUAAAAGUGGACACUGCUUAUGACUGCUGUAUGCAACAGUUUUUCAGGCCCGAGGUGAUAAAUAAAAAAUUGUUUGCUCUAUUUAA
rnacentral:lncRNA from 10 species